rnacentral:rRNA from 1 species
GUCUCCUUGAAGAUAUAAGGAGUCUGACCUGCCCACUGAAUUAUUAAAGGGCCGCGGUAUUUCUGACCGUGCGAAGGUAGCAUAAUCAUUAGUCUUUUAAUUGAAGGCUUGUAUGAAAGGUUGGACGAGAGAAAAGCUGUCUCAAUCAAAAUUUUGAAAUUAACUUUUGAGUGAAAAGGCUCAAAUAUAUUGAAAAGACGAUAAGACCCUAUAAAUCUUAAUAUUAAUAUAAAUUAAACUCUUGAUUUGUAAGUCAAUAAGAGUAUUAGAUUGAUAAUAUUUUGUUGGGGCGACAAAAAUAUAGAAUAAUCAACUGUUUUAUUUUUAAUACAAUUCUUUUUGUAUAAGAGAUCCUUUCUAAAGAUUAAAAGAUCAAGUUACUUUAGGGAUAACAGCGUUAUUUUCCUUGAGAGUCCAUAUCGAAAGGAAAGAUUGCGACCUCGAUGUUGAAUUAAAAUAUCUUUGUGGUGCAGCAGCUACGAAAGAAAGUCUGUUCGACUUUUAAAAUUUU